rfam:Glossina palpalis gambiensis isolate 146720 unplaced genomic scaffold Scaffold218, whole genome shotgun sequence.
GGGGGUAGUUUUUAGUACGUAUGCGUUAGGGACGACGAAUCAUGCAUGCUGCUAUUAAGAUCCAGAAGUAUCUUUUGAAGAUCUUCUACCUCC